UUGCUCUCCACACGACCAUGUCCCCCGACGGUUCCUACGCCCCUGCCUCCUCCGCCGCCCCUGCGCCCCCUUACCCACGACCUGACCCUGGUGCCCACCCCGCCGUCGCUGCGGUGCAGGGGGCCGCCGUCGCAUUCUUAAGCCUUAUCCCACGACCCGACCUUCGGCGGCCACGCAGUCCUCGCUGCGGUCUAGGGACCCGACGCCGCAGGUGCAGGGGGCCGCCGCCGGGGUGCAAGUGCAGGGGGGCCGCCGCCGCUGAAGGUCUAGGUCCCCCGGCCGCAGCAGGUCCAGGGACUGCCUCCACGCCGCAGCAGGUCCACGGACCACGAUCAUGCAGCUAGGAUGUGCAGAUCGCGUGAUGGUUGCUGCUGAUCCAUGGUGUGAUGAACUUUGGCUACCAAUACACACAAGGUGUUUGACUGUAUGCCUCAAUAGGUGAAUACGAACCCUCUAUUUGCAGAGAGAAAGAUCAACAUUGUGAGAUUGCAGCAAACCUGCACAUAAAGAUCAUUGAGUACUUUGCAGCUAUUUUAAUACAUUCUUUAAUUUUAUUUCAAUUUAUUUCUUGGCUUAUUAUGAUCCUCUCCUCUACACUUGGGUUUGGUUCUGGGACAUGUCCAUUCCACACCACCACCCUUGACCUUGUAGGCAAUCUGAAUCACCCUCACAGGUGAAUGCCCUUCAGAUUUUGAUGUUCGGUAACCAGUUACAUAUUAUGUUUUGAUCAAUAAUAGAAUGUGAGUUGCAAUUAAUCUUAUGAGCUCUGGUAUCCUAGUGGGUGCUUUGGUUCCAAUUAUUUCAAUGACUCUUGAUUGGAUUUUUGUUUUCUUUCAUUGAAGAUGGAUGGGAAUGGAGAGCAGUUGAAAUAAAGCCUUCUUUAUUUGUAACAGUAACUUAAUUCUUCAUGUCUUCAGGUCAGGUAACAAAUUUUCGUUUUAUGUUCCUGUAGGAGAUGCAGAGCUGAUUACUGCAUGAAAUGGAUUUCGAAGAUGUACUUCUUCGAUGCCGAUACUAUUCCCUACUCUAGUACUAUGCUACUAUUAUCAACUUAUGGUUGUCACUUUGUUCAUUGAUUGUCCAUACACAGUUUAGAAGUUAUAUUUGGUUAACUUAGCUACUUGCAUCAUGCCUUGCGAUUACAGUUGCAUGGUCUAAAUAUUACAGCAAGCUUUGCAGUUCAUUGUUCAUACUUUAUUUGAUCUUUUUAGGACUUCACUUUCUCUAAUUUAACCCAAUGCAUAGAGAGCCCAUUUUUCAGUUCUUCAUGUAUGAAAAAUGUAUCAUACAUUCUGCGACCUCAUGAUAGAUUUUUUUUUCCUUCCUUACCUGCAGGUUCCACAAUGCUUGCAUUCACCCAUCUUUUGGUGUUUGAUGUACGAGGGCAUCAACAGGCAAAGGAUUUCAAGGAAUAGAUAGAAAUAGUUACAUAUGUUUUUAGAUUUUGGUACUAUGAAACCGUUACUAUCGUACACAAAAUAUGUAUCUAUAUACAUUGAGUCAUUAUAAAUUAUGGAGUUCUAUGAAUCAGUUAUGUUUAUUGAUAUAAUUCAGUGUACAAUGGAGCUACUCAUUGUUUGAA